rnacentral:lncRNA from 1 species
UUUGUUUUGAGAUCGGAUUUUAAUGUAUGUGUCAUCAAAACAGUGUAACUGUUAUCAUUUCUUAACAUUUUAGGGCAGAAAAAGACAUGGUCUUUACAAACACUAGUCCCCAAGCUCACGCACGUGUUUUACUGGAUUGCUUCUUCCUCAGACAAGAUGUUCUCAGCAUAAACACCUAGGAAUCUCCUGCUUUUGCUGUCUCACUGCCUUCUGCAGGACUUGUGGAGAGCUAUAACAUCACCUGGGCCAUCUCCAAAGAGCAGCCUACUCCCUAUGUCACCUUCAUCUGGAAAGCCAGGCUCUGCAGAGACCAUCUUUCUGCUGUGGGAAUAAAGCAAAAGCAGCAUUACUAGAAGAGCCAGCAGCAGUAAGUUUAGAAAAAAAGUAGGUUUAUAAAGUAGUUUAUUAUAAAGUAGGUUUAUGCAGGAAAACAAAUCAACCCCCCGCCAAAACCAGAACCUCAGGAUCAAUGGUCUAAAACCAUCACCCCAUGUCCUGUCACAACAGGCCCCGCUAAAGACUCUCCCUAUCUUUCUUAUAGGCUCUUUUGAGUACUGAAAAGCCACAAUAAGGUCUCCCGGGAAUCUUCUCCAGACUGAACAACCCCAACUCUCUCAGCCGUUCCUCGUAGGAGAGGUGCUCCAGCCCUCGAAUGGAGUGACCCGUUUGCUAAAUAUAUCGCUAUAAAACUAAAUCCCCAUGGAAGGCAUCUGAAUGCCAUGUGCUCACUGCAGAGUGUUACCUCCACAGCCCGUCGGGAGGCCCCAGCAGCAAGGGCCUAGCCCUAAAGCGGCCAGAAGGCUCAUGAGGUAACCGAAUGUGAUCAGACUUUAAGCCCCUUCACAGCCCUUCCUACAGCUCGGGCAUGGUAGUGCCUGGUGUUACCUCACACCCACCGCCAUUCCCCGGCCUCCCAACCGCAGCCCCGUCCAACUCACCGAGGAGCCGCUCGCAGCGGUCCCAACGCGGUUCCCGGCCACUCUUAACGUGGUCCCGGUGCCGCUUCCCGCCUCCAUGUCCGGCCCUGAGCGCAUGGCGAAAG